rnacentral:rRNA from 1 species
UACAGAGGAUGCAAGCGUUAUCCGGAAUGAUUGGGCGUAAAGCGUCUGUAGGUGGCUUUUUAAGUCCGCCGUCAAAUCCCAGGGCUCAACUCUGGACAGGCGGUGGAAACUACCAAGCUGGAGUACGGUAGGGGCAGAGGGAAUUUCCGGUGGAGCGGUGAAAUGCGCUGAUAUCCUAAGGAACACCGGUGGCGAAAGCGGCUCACUGGAUCUUAUCUGACGCUGAGGCACGAAAGCCAGGGUAGCAAACGGG